CGCUCUCCGGUUGAUUAAUCGUGUUCAUUGGGAUUUAAAAAGAGGAACAUGGAUUUUUGUUGGUGACUUGUAAGCAGCAACAAGAUCUUGCAAUUUCUAAUUUUCUAGCCAUCCACGUGAGUACAGAUCAGGCGAGUACCUCGAAGCAGAGCCCACGCUGCCGUACCUGAGCCCCUACAUGCGCGGCGAGAACCUGCUUGUCGGCGCCAACUUCGCGUCCACCGGCGUCGACAUCCUCAACGACACAGGCGUGCAAUUUGUGAACAUCAUCAGGAUCGCGCAGCUGCUGCAGAACUUCCAGGACUACCAGUAGAGGCUGGCGGCGUACGUCGGCGAGGACGCGGCGAGUGAGCGCAUGAGCCAGUCGCUGGUGCUCAUCACGCUUGGUGGCAACGACUUCGUCAACAACUACUGCCUGGUGCCCUUCUCCGCUAGGUCCCAGCAGUUCGAGA